UGAAAUGCUUAGAUGUUUUUGUAAAAAAUAGGUACGCUCUGCGUUCUUGUGAUGGACAAAAGAUGGCUUCGACAAAGACGACUCUUGAUUUCUACGCGUUAAUUUGAGCUAUCUAGUAUAUGUGGACACAAAAUGCCAGUUCAGAAAGUCAAAAGAUGGUGUUGGUGUUUAUUUUGUUGAUUUUGGUGUUGAUGUCAUUGCACCUAAUUGUGUAUGGAAGAACGGUCAUCUCUCGAAUUUGGGAGCCCAGUUAAGGUUUGUGCCCAAUGCAAAAUACACUGUGUCCUCUCUUAGUUGCCACAGUUACUGGUAAGUAUUGUAUCUUUAGAUUGUAGUAAAUGACAAAAUAUUUAGUGAGUGUGCUCUUGCAAAUAAACACAA